rnacentral:ncRNA from 1 species
AAUACUCCCUGGUGACCGAUAGCGGACUAGUACCGUGAGGGAAAGGUGAAAAGUACCCCGGGAGGGGAGUGAAAUAGUACCUGAAACCGUGCGCUUACAAUCCGUCAAAGCCUUCGAGCAGUUUACUGCUGUGGGUGAUGGCGUGCCUUUUGAAGAAUGAGCCUGCGAGUUAGUGGCAUGUCGCGAGGUUAACCCGUGUGGGGUAGCCGUAGCGAAAGCGAGUCCGAAUAGGGCGUAUCCACGUUUGUGGUGUAGUGGCGUGUUCUAGACCCGAAGCGGAGUGAUCUACCCAUGGCCAGGUUGAAGCGACGGUAAGACGUCGUGGAGGACCGAACCCACUUAGGUUGAAAACUGAGGGGAUGAGUUGUGGGUAGGGGUGAAAGGCCAAUCAAACUCCGUGAUAGCUGGUUCUCCCCGAAAUGCAUUUAGGUGCAGCGUCACGUGUUUCUCAUCGGAGGUAGAGCUACUGGAUGGUCUAGGGGGCUUACCGGCUUACCGAAAUCAGCCAAACUCCGAAUGCCGAUGAGUGAGAGCGUGGCAGUGAGACUGCGGGCGAUAAGGUUCGUAGUCGAGAGGGAAACAGCCCAGAUCGCCAGCUAAGGUCCCUAAGCGUGUACUAAGUGGAAAAGGAUGUGGGGUCGCGAAGACAACCAGGAGGUUGGCUUAGAAGCAGCCACCCUUGAAAGAGUGCGUAAUAGCUCACUGGUCAAGUGAUCCUGCGCCGACAAUGUAGCGGGGCUCAAGUACACCACCGAAGCUGCGGCACUCACACAAUAGCCCGCAUAUCCCUUACGGGGGGUGUGCCAGGUGUGUGGGUGGGUAGGGGAGCGUC